AUUGAACGCUGGCGGCAUGCUUUACACAUGCAAGUCGAACGGUAACAGGCCGCAAGGUGCUGACGAGUGGCGAACGGGUGAGUAAUGCAUCGGAACGUGCCCAGUCGUGGGGGAUAACGCAGCGAAAGCUGUGCUAAUACCGCAUACGAUCUAUGGAUGAAAGCGGGGGACCGUAAGGCCUCGCGCGAUUGGAGCGGCCGAUGUCGGAUUAGCUAGUUGGUGGGGUAAAGGCCCACCAAGGCGACGAUCUGUAGCUGGUUUGAGAGGACGACCAGCCACACUGGGACGGAGACACGGCCCAGACUCCUACGGGAGGCAGCAGUGGGGAAUUUUGGACAAUGGGCGCAAGCCUGAUCCAGCAAUGCCGCGUGCAGGAAGAAGGCCUUCGGGUUGUAAACUGCUUUUGUACGGAACGAAACGGUCUUGGUUAAUACCCUGGGCUAAUGACGGUUCCGUAAGAAUAAGCACCGGCUAACUACGUGCCAGCCGCCGCAGUAA
rnacentral:rRNA from 1 species